GAUGAACGCUGGCGGCGUGCUUAACACAUGCAAGUCGAACGGGAAACCUUUUAUUGUGGCUUCGGCAGGUUUAGCUGGUUUCUAGUGGCGGACGGGUGAGUAACGCGUGGGUAACCUGCCUUAUACAGGGGGAUAACAACCAGACAUGGUUGCUAAUACCGCAUCAGCGCACAGGACCGCAUGGUUCGGUGGGAAAAACUCGGGUGGUAUCAGAUGGACCCGCGUUGGCUUAGCUAGUUGGCAGGGUAACGGCCUGCCAAGGCGACGAUCCAUAGCCGGGCUGAUAGGGGGAACCGCCACGUUGGGACUGAGACACAGCCCAGACUCCGACGGGACGGAGCAGAGGGGAAUACUGCAGGAUGGAGGAAACUCUGAUGCAGCGGCGCCGCGGGAAGGAAGAAGUAUGUCGGAAUGUGAACUUCUAUCAGCAGAGAAGAUAGUGACGGUACCUGACAAAGAAGCCCCGGCUAACUACGUG
rnacentral:rRNA from 1 species